rnacentral:rRNA from 1 species
GACAGAGGGUGCAAACGUUGUUCGGAAUUACUGGGCGUAAAGCGUGUGUAGGCGGUCUCGUAAGUCGGAUGUGAAAGCCCUGGGCUCAACCCAGGAAGUGCGUCUGAUACUGGAUGGCUUGAAUCCGGGAGAGGGAUGCAGAAUUCCAGGUGUAGCGGUGAAAUGCGUAGAUAUCUGGAGGAAUACCGGUGGCGAAGGCGGCAUCCUGGACCGGCAUUGACGCUGAGGAGCGAAAGCCAGGGGAGCAAACGGG